AUGUGGUGCCCCAUCGACAAUCUGAAGGAGAAUUUAAACGAGAUUUCUCCAAUAUGCAUCACUCCGACGUCGAUGAAGACGGCUUCGUUUCUCGAACAGCCGGUCCCAAACCAAGUUGCUAAUGAUUCCGAUGGUUGUAUCUUAACAUUUACACUAAACUGUCCAGGAGCCCCUCAUGUAUGGUAUAUUGUGUCUGCUUUGUGUACGUCGCAGAGAGAUCCUUUUUCUAUUCAUCAAGGAUCCUUUAUAAAGAAAAAUCAUUGGUCUAAUGGCGAUUAA